rnacentral:tRNA from 1 species
GGGGGAUUAGUUCAGUGGCAAAACACCCGCCUCCGACGCGGGAGUCAUCGGUUCGAGUCCGUUAUUCUCCA